AGAAGCAAAGCCGCGAGGUAGAGCAAAUCUCAAAAAAACAUCUCAGUUCAGACUGCAGGCUGCAACUCGCCUGCACGAAGUCGGAAUUGCUAGUAAUCGUAGGUCAGCAUACUACGGUGAAUACGUUCCCGGGCCUUGUACACACCGCCCGUCAAACCAUGAGAGUUGGCAACACCCGAAGUCGGUAGUCUAACCGCAAGGAGGACGCCGCCGAAGGUGGGGUUGAUGAUUAGGGUUAAGUCGUAACAAGGUACC
rnacentral:rRNA from 1 species